CUUCCCUUCUCUCCUUUUACCUUGAUGACUGAUGAGUCAUCCCUUCCCUCACUCGCACACAUUCACGCAGUCACACAUCACCUCCCCUCUCUCUCCCUUCACCACGAAUCCUCUCCUUCCUUCCUGCUCCUUGUGCCGCCUCGCCGCCGCGCCGCCAGCCGUUACCCUCUCGCCGGCGACGCUGAUUCUGCUGCUGAGGAUGUUCGUUGUUGUUGUGUUAAUUCUGCUGCUGCUCCCCUCGUCUCUCCUUCCUCUCGUCCAAGCUUCGUGAUGCCGCCGCCGAUGGUGGCCGCUAAACCACCCUCAUCUAGACCUCAUCUUCAAUUGGUAAACCAUCUAAGUCCCUCCAUUAAUUGAUUGAAUUAGAUUUUGAUUUAAAAUCUCAAACCCUAACUAAUUGAAUUUCUCUCUCCUGUUGUGGGUGCGCUACCCCUUUUGGGUUGUCGGUGCGACGGUGUUCCAUCGCCGCUGUUGUAUGUUGUUGGAGGUUGAUCGGUGUUGAUCGUUGUGUUCUUGUUCCUCUCCCCUGCUUCACUCCUCUACCUCUCCUCUCCUCCGCUAGACUCACGGAGUGCCACCUCCUCGUGGCCUGCCAGAGCUGCUGCUGCUAUUCCGUUGAUGUUGUUGUGUUAUCUGUCUUAUGGUUGUUGUUGCUGCUUCUCUACCUUCCUAUUUCUCUUAUGGGUCAUGCUUGUGCUUUUCACUUACUGCAGCAGAUUGUUCAAAGACUUCUGCCUCGAUGCUGAUACAACGCUUGCCACUUUAAGACUCACCAUGGUUGUUUUAUCUUUUUUUUAACUAAUAAGAUAUGUCUUAUCUCAGGGUAUCUGACAUAUCUCAUUCUCACCCUAUUUUUUGAAAUCGUUUGCCUAAAUAGUACUCUCUAUAUGACCUUCAUGAUAAGAGUUGUUACUGUAUUGUGUUACACACUGAUAAUGUUUGUUGUUGCUGCUGAUUUGUUGUUGGUUAUGCUGCUGCUGUGUUGCUAUCACGCUGCUGCUAUGUUGCUAUCACGCUGCUGUUGUCCUGCUGCUGCUGUCUUGCUGUUGUUCUGCUGAUAUUGCUGGUCUGCAGACACUGCUGUUGUUCUGUUUUGUUAGCUUGCUUUGACUUUUCAUUAAUUUUUGUUUAUGCACCAAUCUAGUGAAAUCUAACCAUGCAUUAAAGCUGUCAACAGUGAUAGAAAUAUCCGAUUAUACCAAUCAAGCAUCUUCUAAGACACAUUUUUUUUGUUUUUUUGUUAGUUUUGGCUUGCGGGUUGUUGCAAGCCCUAGGGUGUUUAUUUUGGUUGAGAUUGAACAACAGUUGGUCCUCUUUUUGGUUAAUAAUAUUAUUUGGAGUUGAUA